UCCUAGUUAGUACAGCGGUUAGUAUAUGUCGCUUUCACCUUGAGUGCGGCGCCGACAAGGCCCGGGUUCGACUCCCGGACUGGGAA